CAUCGUGGAUGAUGAGAUUUUUUAAAUAUACAGUUAUCCCUGUCUGAUAUUAGUGGUGCUGAUAUUUAUUAAACCCUGACACAAUU
rnacentral:snoRNA from 1 species